AAAGCCAGCAGUAGCAUGUUGAAUACACCAGUUCCCCACGGAUCACUGAAGUUAAGCAACGUUGUGCGUGGUUUGUAUCUGAACGAGUAAAUAGGAACAGUAUGUUUCUAUUUUAU
rfam:Asian citrus Psyllid, Diaphorina citri - Florida Strain, whole genome shotgun sequence.